CGAGAGAGCCAGGCGAUCGCCGUCCACCGCAAGGUGGAGGGAGGAAAGUCCGAACUCCGCAGGGCAGUGCGCCGGGUAACGCCCGGUCGGGGCAACCCGAAGGACAGUGGCACAGAAAACAUACCGCCGGCCCGCGCCGAAAGGCGCGGGCCUAGUCGCGCGCCACGGGCGCGCGACGGGCAAGGGUGAAAAGGUGCGGUAAGAGCGCACCGCGUCCGUGGCAACACGGGUGGCAGGCAAAACCCCGCACGGAGCAAGGCCAAAUAGGGAGGCGCCAGGCGGCCGCGUAUGCGGCCCGCCUGAUGAGACGGCCCGUCUCAGGCUUCCGGGUAGGCUGCUCGAUCCCGUCAGCGAUGACGGGGCUAGAGGAAUGAUCGUCGUCCGCGCCUGAGCUCGAUGGGCGAAGGCGCGGAACAGAAUUCGGCUUACGGGGCUCUCGGCGG
rnacentral:RNase_P_RNA from 1 species